GACGAACGCUGGCGGCGUGCCUAAUACAUGCAAGUUGAGCGCUGAAGGUUGGUACUUGUACCAACUGGAUGAGCAGCGAACGGGUGAGUAACGCGUGGGGAAUCUGCCUUUGAGCGGGGGACAACAUUUGGAAACGAAUGCUAAUACCGCAUAAAAACUUUAAACACAAGUUUUAAGUUUGAAAGAUGCAAUUGCAUCACUCAAAGAUGAUCCCGCGUUGUAUUAGCUAGUUGGUGAGGUAAAGGCUCACCAAGGCGAUGAUACAUAGCCGACCUGAGAGGGUGAUCGGCCACAUUGGGACUGAGACACGGCACAAACUCCUACGGGAGGCAGCAGUAGGGAAUCUUCGGCAAUGGACGAAAGUCUGACCGAGCAACGCCGCGUGAGUGAAGAAGGUUUUCGGAUCGUAAAACUCUGUUGGUAGAGAAGAAAGUUGGUGAGAGUGGAAAGCUCAUCAAGUGACGGUAACUACCCAGAAAGGGACGGCUAACUACGUG
rnacentral:rRNA from 1 species